AGUGAACGCUGGCGGCGUGCCUAAUACAUGCAAGUCGAACGAAGUGUCGCACGGGUGUGUAAUAUAUAGUUAAUCUGCCCUUCACAGAGUAACAACCGUUGGAAACGACUGCUAAUACACCAUAGUGUAGGAUGAGACUAUAUCGUAUCAGCUAGUUGGUUAGGGAAUGGCUUACCAAGGCUAUGACGCGUAACUGGUCUGGGAGGAUGAUCAGUCACGUUGGAACUGAGGCACGGUUCAAAUACCUACGGGAGGCAGCAGUAAGGAAGCAUGCGCAAUGGGGGCAACCCUGACGCAGCAACGCGGGGUGGAGGAUGACACUUUUCGGAGCGUAAACUCCUUUUAUCAGGAAGGCGGUACCUGAAGAAGAAGCACCGGCUAACUCCGUGCCAGCAGCCGCGGUAAUUC
rnacentral:rRNA from 1 species